AUUGAACGCUGGCGGCAGGCCUAACACAUGCAAGUCGAGCGGUAACAUUUCUAGCUUGCUAGAAGAUGACGAGCGGCGGACGGGUGAGUAACGCGUGGGAAUCUACCUAGUAGUGGGGGACAACAGUUGGAAACGACUGCUAAUACCGCAUACGCCCUACGGGGAAGCGGAGGAUCUUCGGACUUCGUGCUAUUAGAUGAGCCCGCGUGAGAUUAGUUUGUUGGUGGGGUAAUGGCCUACCAAGACUACGAUCUCUAGCUGGUCUGAGAGGAUGAUCAGCCACACUGGAACUGAGACACGGUCCAGACUCCUACGGGAGGCAGCAGUGGGGAAUAUUGCCACAAUGGGCGAAAGCCUGAUGCAGCCAUGCCGCGUGUGUGAAG
rnacentral:rRNA from 1 species